CACUACUCCUGGUAGAUGGUUGAGGAAUGGAAGAAAAGACAAUGUAGUGAGAAGACUGAUUUUGCCCUAAAUCUGAUGGCAGCCAGCUGCCCUGUGUGCACCCCUACCAGAGGCCCGCGUGGCAGGGAACCAUGGCUGCAGCCAACAGCCAGCGAGUGCCCGAGUCCAGUCAACAGCCUCCCGAGUGAGCCUGGAGACAGCGCCUUCUCACGCCGACCCUUGAGAAAACCUGUGCAGCGGAUGUGGCGGGCUGCUCUGGGUCGUGUCAGCUGCGUCCUUCCCACAGACCUCCCCCUAAAACAGGCCAGCUCUGCACCACUUCCCUCAGCAGAACUUCUUGGGAGCCUGUGCCAAGUACUACAGCAGCAGUCUUCCGGGAUCCAGUGCUGGGGAGGCCUCAGUUCCAAGAUUGGGGAGAGAAGUUGGCAGUUGGAGAGGCAGUGUUCA